rnacentral:lncRNA from 1 species
AAAUACAAAGGAAAAUAGAAAAUUUUCUUUUUGAAUACAAAGGUUUUUUUCUCUCUAUAUUACCUUGAGGAUUAUCGUUCUUUUGUUUUUCAUUUAUACAUAGAUAUAUACAUAUAUACAUAUAUAUAUUUGUAGUUGCUUUAUUUCUUUAUUUAUUUUUGCUUAAAAUAUAAAAAAAAGGAGGAAAGGGCUUACUUCUCACGUCGGAAUCGCCGGAUUAGUGUCGUCUCCAUCGCAAUCGGAGCAUCGGCAAGAGUGAACGGCGGCGUCAGGGGGCUGGGGUUAAAAACCCA